rnacentral:antisense_RNA from 1 species
UGUGGGAGCGAGCUUGCUCGCGAAAGCGUUUUGUCAGUCGCCAGUGAGGUUGACUGAUCUACCGCAUUCGCGAGCAAGCUCGCUCCCACA